UACGUAGGGUGCAAGCGUUGUCCGGAAUUAUUGGGCGUAAAGAGCGUGUAGGCGGCCAGAUAGGUCAGCUGUGAAAACUCGAGGCUCAACCUCGAGACGUCGGUUGAAACCAUCUGGCUAGAGUCCGGAAGAGGAGAGUGGAAUUCCCGGUGUAGCGGUGAAAUGCGCAGAUAUCGGGAAGAACACCCGUGGCGAAGGCGGCUCUCUGGGACGGUACUGACGCUGAGACGCGAAAGCGUGGGGAGCGAACAGG
rnacentral:rRNA from 1 species